UAACACGUGGGGAACCUGCCCCAUAGUCUGGGAUACCACUUGGAAACAGGUGCUAAUACCGGAUAAGAAAGCGGAUCGCAUGAUCAGCUUUUAAAAGGCGGCGUAAGCUGUCGCUAUGGGAUGGCCCCGCGGUGCAUUAGCUAGUUGGUAAGGUAAAGGCUUACCAAGGCGAUGAUGCAUAGCCGAGUUGAGAGACUGAUCGGCCACAUUGGGACUGAGACACGGCCCAAACUCCUACGGGAGGCAGCAGCA
rnacentral:rRNA from 1 species